GUGGGGUUUUUCCAGGCAAGAUUACGGGAGUGGGUUGCCAUUUCCUUCUCCAAAGGGCUCCGUGAGGAGGCAGGUAAUCAACCCAGAAGAUAGCAAGAGUGAAGGCUUCCCAGAAGGCUGGGGAGAGGCUCUGAGGAUGGGGAGGAAUUACACAGGAUUUAAAAAAAAAAAAAAAUCAGGGGGAAAUGUCUUUCCCAGGCAGCGCGGCAAGUGAAAAUGGUCAGAGGUGGAUAACUGUAUAGAAAUUUGAUAGCAACCCAUUGGCUUCCCAGUCGGUGUAGUGGUUAAGAAUCUGUCUUCCAAUGCAGGAGACGAAAGUGACAAGGGUUUGAUCCCUGAGUCGGGAAGAUGCCCUGGAGGAGGAAAUGGCAACCCACGCCAGGAUUCUUGCCUGGAGAAUNNNNNNNNNNNNNNNNUGGUGGGCUACAGUCCACGGGGUCGCAAAGAGUCAGACACGACUGAGUGAGAACACACCCUGUUGGCAGGAGGAAAGUUCAACCAGGGCUUGAAGACCAUAUGAAGGAGUCUGCAGCUUUCCAUCCAAGGAAAUGAGGAAUGAUUCCUCCUGGAUUUCAAGCGGAGGAAUGACGUGACUGAUGUUUUACAGAGGUCCUUCUGAUUCCAGCGCAGAAAGACAGCCACCGAGAAAGAGAAGAGAGAAGACUCUCACUGUAAGGAACGUCUUUCAACUAAGACGGUAGCACUGAUGACGGAGAAAAGGCGGAGAUUCAAGAGAUGCUGAUCAUGCGUUCUGUCAACGGUGGUGUCCGACUGGGCUGCGAGGCAAAGACAGGGAGGAGUCGGGAGGAUCCCCAGGGUGCCGAUCAGAGCGACUUAGGGUGGGGUGGGGGGGCAAGGAUAGUCUUUAUCAAAACAGGAAAUGAGAAAUGAAAGAAAGAGAGAGAGACUCUUUUAUAUUAUAGUAUCUAAGCAUCAAAUAACCAAUGAGUCCAUGGAAGAAGUUCCAAGGAAGGAGCAAAUUAGUCUAUUAAAGCCAUGUUGCAAUGCCAGAUAAAAUACUGAGGACAUUAAAAUUAUAUUAAGUUAUAUAUACAGUUAUGGUGGUGGUGGUUUAGUCGCUAAGUCG
rnacentral:lncRNA from 1 species